GAUAGUUGCCAUCAUUUGGUUGGGCACUUUAUCGAGACUGCCGGUGACAAACCGGAGGAAGGUGGGGAUGACGUCAAGUCCUCAUGGCCUUUAUGUCUAGGGCUGCACACGUCCUACAAUGGCACGGACAAAUGGACGCAAUACCGCGAGGUGGAGCAAAUCCCCAAAAACUGUCUCAGUUCGGAUUGUACUCUGCAACUCGAGUGCAUGAAGUUGGAAUCGCUAGUAAUCGCGGAUCAGCAUGCCGCGGUGAAUACGUUCUCGGGCCUUGUACACACCGCCCGUCACGUUAUGGAAGCCGGUUUUGCCCGAAGUAUGUUAGCUAACCCGCAAGGGAGGCGAUGUCCUAAGGUGAGGCUGGUAACUGGAACGAAGUCGAAACAAGGUAGCCGUAGGGGAACCUGCGGCUGG
rnacentral:rRNA from 1 species